AUACAGAGGGUGCGAGCGUUAAUCGGAAUUACUGGGCGUAAAGCGCGCGUAGGCGGCUUGGUCAGUCGGAUGUGAAAGCCCCGGGCUCAACCUGGGAAUGGCAUUCGAUACUGCCAGGCUAGAGUAUGGGAGAGGGAAGUGGAAUUUCCGGUGUAGCGGUGAAAUGCGUAGACAUCGGAAAGAACACCAGUGGCGAAGGCGACUUCCUGGCCCAAUACUGACGCUGAGGUGCGAAAGCGUGGGGAGCGAACAGGAUUAGAAACCCUAGUAGUCC
rnacentral:rRNA from 1 species